rnacentral:rRNA from 1 species
GUAGGUGGCAAGCGUUGUCCGGAAUUAUUGGGCGUAAAGCGCGCGCAGGCGGUCCUUUAAGUCUGAUGUGAAUGCCCACGGCUCAACCGUGGAGGGUCAUUGGAAACUGGGGGACUUGAGUACAGAAGAGGAAAGCGGAAUUCCACGUGUAGCGGUGAAAUGCGUAGAGAUGUGGAGGAACACCAGUGGCGAAGGCGGCUUUCUGGUCUGUAACUGACGCUGAGGCGCGAAAGCGUGGGGAGCAAACAGGGAUUAGAUACCCUGGUAGUCCACGCCGUAAACGAUGAGUGCUAAGUGUUAGGGGGGUUUCCGCCCCCUUAGUGCUGCAGCUAACGCAUUAAGCACUCCGCCUGGGGAUACGGCCGCAAGGCUG